rnacentral:rRNA from 1 species
GAUGAACGCUAGCUACAGGCUUAACACAUGCAAGUCGAGGGGCAGCAUUAUCGAAGCUUGCUUUGAUAGAUGGCGACCGGCGCACGGGUGAGUAACGCGUAUCCAACCUUCCCUAUAGUAGAGAAUAGCCCGGCGAAAGUCGGAUUAAUGCUCUAUGUUGUAUUUAGAGGACAUCUGAAGAAUACCAAAGGUUUACCGCUAUAGGAUGGGGAUGCGUCUGAUUAGGUAGUAGGCGGGGUAACGGCCCACCUAGCCGACGAUCAGUAGGGGUUCUGAGAGGAAGGUCCCCCACAUUGGAACUGAGACACGGUCCAAACUCCUACGGGAGGCAGCAGUGAGGAAUAUUGGUCAAUGGACGGAAGUCUGAACCAGCCAAGUAGCGUGCAGGAUGACGGCCCUAUGGGUUGUAAACUGCUUUUAUAUAGGGAUAAAGUCGGGGACGUGUCCCCGUUGUA